UCCAUCACUCCAAAUGAUAUACGUCUCUCCCGAGGUCGGCAACGUUUUCGCUAUUUUAAGCCACCUCGCGACUUAUUCCUCAGAUCUUAUCUUAUAUUUUCUAUCCUCUCUCUCUGCUCCUCUCAGAUUCGAAUAGAUCGUUUUCCGAUCUAUCACUUGAGCAUGGCUUUACGUUAUCUAUUCUGGGAGAUCGAUCUGUGGUUGAAGCUUCUUCAUAGCUCGGUUAGAUCGGCUACGAUAUCUCCGGUUUGCCUCAGAUCUGCAGACGUUGGAGCUCUUGACCGCCGGUUGAAAAAUCUAUGGAGGUGUAGGUCUUUUUGCCGAGCUGAUAUGUACAUCGAUGAAGGGUUUUUUUUGAGAUGAAAAGCAGCACUGAUGUUGGCAACGAUAUUGAUUGACCUCUCCGUAGGAGAGAGUUGGUGGUAGAUGGAUCGUUGUCGUUGACCAUGCCGUGGCUACAGAUAUCUGGAAGAUUUGCGCCUUCUGAUCUGAUUAUUGAUGAUGAUGAUGUUCUGGAGCUCACGUUCGUGAAGAUUAUUGUCGACAAAAGGGUUUGUUUGUGAUUUUGUUUUAUGUGAAUCUGUUCGAUUAUCAUUGUUGUGUGUGGUGUUUUACUUGCGUUUGAGGACUGGAUGGCUGGGUGGGAAGGCUGAGGAGAUGUUUGAUUACUUUAUGUUUAUUUGCUGCUGUUUGUCGCCCGACCUUUGCCAUGUCAGGUGCGCUUGCAUGGCAGGUCAAAAAGUUGAAUAAAAAUUUACUUUAUUGGGUUUUCGAGGGGGGGAGAUGGCACGGGAAUAUUUGCUUUAUUUUGCCCGGCUCUCCCCCUUCUGUGUGCGUGUCUGGUCGUUCCUUUCUUUUUUCUUCUCUCUUUCCCUCUUUUCCUUUUCUCUCUCUAUGCUGGACUGUUUACCAAACGAACAUCCUAUGCAACCAAGACAAACAAGGCAACAACUAUGCAGCAAUCGAGAAUGUCCAUGAAUUCGACCACCAGAGGUAUACUACUUCAUCCACAUAACAAUUUGCUUCAGAUAUUAUUCAUGGUUCUCACAGAUAUGGCCACCGUAAACAAUUUUAUCUUUAUUAGCUCAUCAAAAAUAGUGGUAGUGCACUCGUUGAAUACCAGUAGUUAUAACCUUUUUUGCUUAAAAUUGGCAGCCAUAUGCACAAGCUUGUUCGUAUUUAUACUCGAUAUAUAUUUGCUGCUAUAGUAGUCACAAUAACCGAGCUAGUUCAUUUACAUUUAACAAUCAAAUUGGUCCUUUAUCCUAGACGGUUCUUCUUUAUGCCUAAAAGUAAGUAGGCGAUAUUUUUUCUCUAAAUGAUUUAACAUGACGUGUAUAUAUAUACAAACCACAUUAAAGUUGCAAACGAUAACUGCGCUAGUUCAUUUAAAUCACAGAUUUAUCCUAUCAACCUGUUGCAGCAAGGUUAUUCUUUUUGCUCAAAAGUAAGUGGUUUAUUUUACUUUGGAUAACCCAGUUAUUAAAUAUUACAGAAUUGAAGACUAGGCAUCGAUCCCAGUUAGGUCAUAUUUUAUGCCGAAAGUCAAGCUAUUCAUCAAAUUAUCUUAAGAAAUAAGAAGAUGAUGGAAGUUGUUUAAAUAAAUGGUCGACAGACAAUUGCAUCUUUGAUGAGAACAAAUAUACAUCCAGGUUUUGUUUCCUGCAGCAACUUGCAAAUUUUUAAAGCCCUUUUCGUGUAUUACACACACACAUAUAGGGCAACGUUGACAUGGAAGUUUCAUCUUAUGGGCCAAAAUAUCAAUUAUGUACCCUGAGGGUUGGGCUCAUUCGCUGUUGUACAUCUUUUAUGUCCAUGUUAAUGAUUUUGUCAAAGAGGUGGUGUUGGUUUCCUGUUCCAGAAUGUCAAGCAUGUAUCUAAUGUUUAGAAGUUGUUACACCUGGUAUGGAGUGUAUUUUGCUGUAUGUGCUGUAUCAACUCGAGGUGCUGUUAUGUCCCCUACGACCAGUGAUGACUAUCGGUUCUUGAUGACCUGCUUCAAGCUUGCUGGAGUCUUCUUUCAUUUUGGUACAAUAUGAAGUGUUGCAGGCUCGUGGCAUGAGUGUUAUUUGGUGCUAUAUGCUUUAUCAUGGAGAUGGUGGUUGAGCAAAACCUACAAAGGGCUCACUGUCUCUGUCGGUUGAAUAUGUGGAUGCGACUUCAUCAAAGUUCAAUUGAGCCGCAGGGUUCUAUACCUGGUGUAUUUUUUGGCUUCAUGGUCUCAUUCCUUGUACCAAUUUAGCCGCCAUUCGCAUCUGCGAUUCAGUUGCGGAAACACUUGUAGGCAGCAAAUAGCCUUGAUGGUUCCAACAUAUUGCCGUGGGGUUGUCUAGACAUAGUUGCUCUUGAAGGAAAGCUGUUCCCGUACAUUUUUCAUCUCUAGUUGUGAUGCAAACCUAUAGCCGGGCAAACAUCAACUAAUUGCAACUAGGAAUGGAAUUCUGUGCAGUACGUCUUGUACAUUGCUUAUUACAGGAAGUCUGUUGAUGAGUUUUUCAUUGCAAGAGUUCCUUCUGUUAUAUCUUGUGCAUUGUGUUAUGGUUUCUGUAGCUACAUUGGCAUUUUAUUAGAUGGGAAAACGGAUGUGUUUCUUACAACUGUUCAUAAUGCAAUUUGAUGUGUAUAUUCCUUUGUUCCUAUAAUUGUGUACAAAUCUUGUUACUUCCUUUUAUUUUGGAUACUAUUAAAUAGUGUCACUUAUAUUUCAGUGACUCUUGCAUUUUCCCAUUUCUUCUUUCUUCUUGAAGAUCUGUAUUAAGCUUGCAAAUCCUUUUGAUCUGCCUGGCUUCUGCUUUCCUUUUUUCUUGGUAUCUGGUGAAAAAGCUUUCUGAUAUAGUCCAGUGGCUAUAGCCAACAUAUGAGGUAUGUAUCCUAGAGGAGAUGAUUUUUUGAUCUUUGGUCCUGAAUAGGUGGGGUGCAGAUGAUCAUUAUUAUUUCAUCCUGUUUUCAAAUGCCUAAAAUUAAUUAUUAUCUUGCGCUAGGUCGUGCAUCAGAGAUGAAAAUGCUAAAAUGCUGUGCUCAUUCAUAAAGAGGAAAAUGAAGCCUGCUUUAACUGCUUUUAAGGCAUUGCAUCUUGAGUCAACGUGCGGGAGAACAAAGACGCAAGGUAAAUGAAUCUGUGGGGAGACGCCAAGGUUUGCUUCAGAUUGUGCGGCGUAUAUAAUUGAAUUAUUCACUGUUUUUGCUUAAUUAUUUGAAUUUGUGUUCAGUUGCUGAUUGUUCGGGAAUGCUGAUUUUAAUUUAUUUGAGUUGGUUUUCAUCUUCUUUAUUUUAUGUUAGUAUGUUCUUUGCUUUUAUGUAGUUUAUAUGUUCAGACAGAGAACUUCUAGGUUCAUGACUUUGAUUAAUAAGAAUAGUGUGUUUUCCAGCAUGUUUUACUUUCAACAUUGUUAUAAUAUUCCCUGGUUGAUUGGCUGGUCAUAUGUCCCAUUUGCUGGAUUCUAAAGCUUCUAUCCUAAAUAGAUAAUGGAAUUACCCAGCUGUUUCCUCGCCAUCUUUUGGAUGUGAUGCGAGAGACUCGUGGCCCCAUUCUGAGGCCCGUCUUUUUAUUGGAGUUCAAACUUUAGUAGAUAAUAUUUAUAGUUACAACUUUGCAGUGAAAAUGUGUUUUAAAAAUGUUACUUCAAUAGUUAAAAAGAAAUGCGUCUGGUUUUUAGUAGGUAUCUGAAAUUCUUUAUUUGAUCUAACUUUUAAAAAAUUGACUUCGUUUUUAAUUUUUUAUUAUGUGUUAUUUUUAAGAUUUUUAAAUAUUUUAAUAUUUUUUAAUUUCAAAAAAUAUGGAUCCUUGAAAUAAGAAUUUAAAUAUUGGGAAAAGUAUAAAAAAAGUCAUGAGGGUUUGUGAUUUAAUUGUGUUUAAGUAGUAUUUUAUGGUAUUAAGGCAUUUGUAAAUGUUGAUAUUUUUAGAUUUUAUGUUAAGAAUUUAAAUUAUAAAAUAUUAUUUUGAUAUGAAAUUGAAUUAUAUAUUUUAAAAUAAACUAUUUAAAAAAAAUUUACUUAUAACAUAUUUUGAAAUGUAAAAUUUGUAACUAUAUAAUAUUCUUUUUAUAUUUUUUCCUUAAAUAUUUUCGUAUUGGUUACUAAAUUACUUUUAUAACCUUAAUUCCAACUAGAAUCAAUGAAGAAUUUUCAGAAACUAUUUGAUUAUUGAUCGAUAAAUUGGUUUUAUGAGCCAAACGUAAAAAUCAUCUUAAAUUAUGGAAAAAAUAUAGCAUUAUUCUGUAUUAAAUUAAUGAUUUUUUGCAGUGGUAUUGAAGUAUUAAGUAGAGAUGAUGCGAUUUUGUGAGAACUUGUCGAGGAUUAGACAAUAUGACACGCAAAGGUGGAAAUUUUGAAAAUUGGCUUUGAAGUGGCGGACGGUUAAAUAUUGCUUUCUUAGGAAGCAUGUUAAACGUGAGAAAUCAAGUUAUGAACAUGUGUAGAUCCAUCAGCUCAAAGCGAAGGUUUCUAAAGGCAAGAUCAAACUGCGAGACCCGCUCUCUUAUGCUAGAUAUUCUGAAUUCAUCACCUGGGACGGGCAACACACCAUUAUAUCAUGGAAAUACUAGGUAUGCAGACCAAAGUCUGAAUUUUUUUGGUUUAAGAAUACUUUAUUUUUUAGAAAGUAUACUAAUACAUUUAUGGGAAUUAAUGUUCUAGUGUGUGAUAUUUCGCAUACAAAUUAAUCUAUUUGACUUUAAUUUAUUUUUAAGUUAUAGAAGAUAAUAAUGCCCUUAUAGAAAAGUAAUAAAAUAUAUGAUGAAUUAAUAAAUUUUAUUUCAUUUACUUUUCCAAAAGAUUCACAAUGACUUAAUUUAAUUCAUUUCUUUUUAUAUUAAAUUACUUGUUUGCAAUGUAAGUUUAUUUUUUUUAAACUAUAAAAAAUUAUUUUAAAAAAAAUGAAUUCAUGUAUAAUUUUUAUCGAAAUUAAUUUGAAUUUUAUUUUUACGGAGAAGUUAAUAAGAAAUGUUUUACUUAUCAAUUUUGCUAAGUUACUUCUUUUAUGUAAGAAAGUAAAAAAGUUCUACCUAAUAAAAUAUAGUUUGAUAGUGCAAAUUAAAUAAUGGAAUGUUUUUUACUACCUUAAAAGUUCUAUUGUAUUAAUAUAUUUACUCUUUAUCAAACAAAGUCCAAUAUAUGGAUGAGAUAUAAUCAGCCAAUUGUUAACACAAGAAUUGGUUUGCCGGAAAGAUAUGAUUAAUUGGCACAUCUCACUUGAGCAGCAAAAUCUAUUCAGCUCGACCUCUUCUUAGUCUUGGGAUCAUUCUUUUUUUUUUUUUUUUU